AAUCAACGCUGGCGGCGUGCCUCAGACAUGCAAGUCGAACGAGAAAGUUUCCUUCGGGGAAUGAGUAAAGUGGCGCACGGGUGAGUAACACGUAGGUAAUCUACCUUCGGGUGGGGAUAACCCAGGGAAACUUGGGCUAACACCGCAUAAUGCAGCGGCACCACAUGGUGACAGUUGUUAAAGCGGGGGAGUUUUAGGUACCUCGCGCCUGAAGAGGAGCCUGCGGCGGAUUAGCUAGUUGGUAAGGUAACGGCUUACCAAGGCGACGAUCCGUAACCGGCCUGAGAGGGCGGUCGGUCACACUGACACUGACAUACGGGUCAGACUCCUACGGGAGGCAGCAGUCGGGAA
rnacentral:rRNA from 1 species